GACCUAGAGGAUCUUCUCUCUAAUGUUAGCUCUCUGUGGAGACAGUCACUCAACCAAAUCCCCAACCGGAUUAAAGGUUGGUGUAGACCAUGGAUUUCUCUUGCAGAGAACAGCUGAGACAUUGAAAAGCACUUGACGCUGACAUCGGACACUGAAAAGCAAAACCCCUCGAUUUGGGAGUCUCUAAUUCCAUUCUUCUCUUCAAGCCAAGCAGCUACACUGAGCUUGAUCCAUGAGAAAUCUCACCACUGUGGCUGAGCACAUGCUUCAGAGAGCACCUGAGCUGACAUCACUCCCCUGCCCUUUCUCAGAUUCUAUUUUCUUACUCGUCUAGGGACUGUGGGCCUGAUUGUUCUAAUCCAAAUGGAUGUCCAACACUAAACACAUUCUCUUCCCUUCUCUCUCUUUAACCCAACCCUCAAUUUCUCUGGGUUCCAUGGCCACUAACUAACCUCACAGAACUAAAGAGAAAUGGCGCAGUCAUAAGUGAGCAGUCACCUUCUCCCUCCUCCCAGUCCUCUGGGAGUCUCUGAAGUCUCUGUCCCCACUGACACUUUCACUCUGUAUGUAAAAUUAUACUUAAGAAUCUUAUUAAUGAGAGCAUAAGUAUUUUUUCUUUUAUGCUUUGGGU
rnacentral:lncRNA from 1 species